CCUACGGGGGGCAGCAGUGGGGAAUAUUGGACAAUGGGGGAAACCCUGAUCCAGCGACGCCGCGUGAGUGAAGAAGUAUUUCGGUACGUAAAGCUCUAUCAGCAGGAAAGAAAAUGACGGUACCUGACUAAGAAGCCCCGGCUAACUACGUGCCAGCAGCCGCGGUAAUACGUAGGGGGCAAGCGUUAUCCGGAUUUACUGGGUGUAAAGGGAGCGUAGACGGCGGCGCAAGUCUGGAGUGAAAUGCCGGGGCUCAACCCCGGAACUGCUCUGGAAACUGUGAAGCUGGAGUGCAGGAGAGGUAAGCGGAAUUCCUGGUGUAGCGGUGAAAUGCGUAGAUAUCAGGAGGAACACCGGCGGCGAAGGCGGCUUACUGGACUGUAACUGACGUUGAGGCUCGAAGGCGUGGGGAGCAAACAGGAUUAGAUACCCUUGUAGUC
rnacentral:rRNA from 1 species